AGCUUAGGUCGUGGACCGAGAGUUCCCUUGUUCUUGCUUUCUAUCGUGUAAUUCUCAUUGUUCAUUCAAUAAAAACGUUCCUCUUUGAUUGCUCGAGCUAAGAUAGGGAAGUCGCGGAGGAAGAUCGUAACACAAGGACGGCCAUUUUUAGUUGACGAGAGUUUUCUUCAAAAACACGUUUACACAGCAUGACAUUUGGGAAAACGAAGUCGGAUUGAAUUUCAACACCAAUGCGACAACAUUAUUGAGUAUUUGUGAGUAUAAAUCCAUAUCGAGCUUACCUCCUUCGGAAAAACGCGGUGCUUUGCUUUGAUAAAGGGCUUCAGCCGAUGAAGAGACAAGAUGUGGCGGCUUUGCACCCAAAAUAUGGUGAAACUUUCCGAUUAGAAUGUAUUAGGUCUUUGGAGGAUAUUAGUGGAAAUACAAAAAAAAAUUCAUGGGUAAAAA